UUGUCGAUUGUGUAUCACUGAGACGCCAGGUACGAGGGUUUGAGUGGUCUGGGGGGCUCUCGGUGGAUGAUCCACCGGCAGCCAGCAAACUGCAGGACCCCCCAAGCAAAGGGUAGAGAAGACAUGGGUGGAGAUUCGGGUUGCCCCUAUCUUUUUAUUGAUCCUUCCGCAGGUUCACCUACGGAAA
rnacentral:misc_RNA from 1 species